GGUUAAGCGACUAAGCGUACACGGUGGAUGCCCUGGCAGUCAGAGGCGAUGAAGGACGUGCUAAUCUGCGAAAAGCGUCGGUAAGGUGAUAUGAACCGUUAUAACCGGCGAUGUCCGAAUGGGGAAACCCAGUGCAAUUCGUUGCACUAUCGUUAACUGAAUACAUAGGUUAACGAGGCGAACCGGGGGAACUGAAACAUCUAAGUACCCCGAGGAAAAGAAAUCAACCGAGAUUCCCCCAGUAGCGGCGAGCGAACGGGGAGCAGCCCAGAGUCUGAAUCAGCUUGUGUGUUAGUGGAACGGUCUGGAAAGUCCGACGGUACAGGGUGAUAGUCCCGUACACCAAAAUGCACAGGUUGUGAACUCGAAGAGUAGGGCGGGACACGUGGUAUCCUGUCUGAAUAUGGGGGGACCAUCCUCCAAGGCUAAAUACUCCUGACUGACCGAUAGUGAACCAGUACCGUGAGGGAAAGGCGAAAAGAACCCCGGCGAGGGGAGUGAAAAAGAACCUGAAACCGUGUACGUACAAGCAGUGGGAGCACCUUCGGGUGUGACUGCGUACCUUUUGUAUAAUGGGUCAGCGACUUAUAUUCUGUAGCAAGGUUAACCGUAUAGGGGAGCCGCAGGGAAACCGAGUCUUAACUGGGCGUUAAGUUGCAGGGUAUAGACCCGAAACCCGGUGAUCUAGCCAUGGGCAGGUUGAAGGUUGGGUAACACUAACUGGAGGACCGAACCGACUAAUGUUGAAAAAUUAGCGGAUGACUUGUGGCUGGGGGUGAAAGGCCAAUCAAACCGGGAGAUAGCUGGUUCUCCCCGAAAGCUAUUUAGGUAGCGCCUCGUGAAUUCAUCUUCGGGGGUAGAGCACUGUUUCGGCUAGGGGGUCAUCCCGACUUACCAACCCGAUGCAAACUACGAAUACCGAAGAAUGUUAUCACGGGAGACACACGGCGGGUGCUAACGUCCGUCGUGAAGAGGGAAACAACCCAGACCGCCAGCUAAGGUCCCAAAGUCAUGGUUAAGUGGGAAACGAUGUGGGAAGGCACAGACAGCCAGGAUGUUGGCUUAGAAGCAGCCAUCAUUUAAAGAAAGCGUAAUAGCUCACUGGUCGAGUCGGCCUGCGCGGAAGAUGUAACGGGGCUAAACCAUGCACCGAAGCUGCGGCAGCGACACUAUGUGUUGUUGGGUAGGGGAGCGUUCUGUAAGCCUGCGAAGGUGACCUGUGAGGGUUGCUGGAGGUAUCAGAAGUGCGAAUGCUGACAUAAGUAACGAUAAAGCGGGUGAAAAGCCCGCUCGCCGGAAGACCAAGGGUUCCUGUCCAACGUUAAUCGGGGCAGGGUGAGUCGACCCCUAAGGCGAGGCCGAAAGGCGUAGUCGAUGGGAAACAGGUUAAUAUUCCUGUACUUGGUGUUACUGCGAAGGGGGGACGGAGAAGGCUAUGUUAGCCGGGCGACGGUUGUCCCGGUUUAAGCAUGUAGGCUGGUUAUCCAGGCAAAUCCGGAUAAUCAAGGCUGAGGUGUGAUGACGAGGCACUACGGUGCUGAAGUAACAAAUGCCCUGCUUCCAGGAAAAGCCUCUAAGCAUCAGGUAACAUCAAAUCGUACCCCAAACCGACACAGGUGGUCAGGUAGAGAAUACCAAGGCGCUUGAGAGAACUCGGGUGAAGGAACUAGGCAAAAUGGUGCCGUAACUUCGGGAGAAGGCACGCUGGUGUGUAGGUGAAGCCCCUGCGGGUGGAGCUGAGACCAGUCGAAGAUACCAGCUGGCUGCAACUGUUUAUUAAAAACACAGCACUGUGCAAACACGAAAGUGGACGUAUACGGUGUGACGCCUGCCCGGUGCCGGAAGGUUAAUUGAUGGGGUUAUCCGUAAGGAGAAGCUCUUGAUCGAAGCCCCGGUAAACGGCGGCCGUAACUAUAACGGUCCUAAGGUAGCGAAAUUCCUUGUCGGGUAAGUUCCGACCUGCACGAAUGGCGUAAUGAUGGCCAGGCUGUCUCCACCCGAGACUCAGUGAAAUUGAACUCGCUGUGAAGAUGCAGUGUACCCGCGGCAAGACGGAAAGACCCCGUGAACCUUUACUAUAGCUUGACACUGAACAUUGAGCCUUGAUGUGUAGGAUAGGUGGGAGGCUUUGAAGCGUGGACGCCAGUCUGCGUGGAGCCAACCUUGAAAUACCACCCUUUAAUGUUUGAUGUUCUAACGUUGGCCCCUGACCGGGGUUGCGGACAGUGUCUGGUGGGUAGUUUGACUGGGGCGGUCUCCUCCCAAAGCGUAACGGAGGAGCACGAAGGUUAGCUAAUCCUGGUCGGACAUCAGGAGGUUAGUGCAAUGGCAUAAGCUAGCUUGACUGCGAGCGUGACGGCGCGAGCAGGUGCGAAAGCAGGUCAUAGUGAUCCGGUGGUUCUGAAUGGAAGGGCCAUCGCUCAACGGAUAAAAGGUACUCCGGGGAUAACAGGCUGAUACCGCCCAAGAGUUCAUAUCGACGGCGGUGUUUGGCACCUCGAUGUCGGCUCAUCACAUCCUGGGGCUGAAGUAGGUCCCAAGGGUAUGGCUGUUCGCCAUUUAAAGUGGUACGCGAGCUGGGUUUAGAACGUCGUGAGACAGUUCGGUCCCUAUCUGCCGUGGGCGCUGGAGAAUUGAGGGGGGCUGCUCCUAGUACGAGAGGACCGGAGUGGACGCAUCACUGGUGUUCGGGUUGUCAUGCCAAUGGCACUGCCCGGUAGCUAAAUGCGGAAGAGAUAAGUGCUGAAAGCAUCUAAGCACGAAACUUGCCCCGAGAUGAGUUCUCCCUGAGACUUUAAGUCUCCUGAAGGAACGUUGAAGACGACGACGUUGAUAGGCCGGGUGUGUAAGCGCAGCGAUGCGUUGAGCUAACCGGUACUAAUGAACCGUGAGGCUUAACCUU
rnacentral:rRNA from 1 species